GGCCUUAUAGCUCAGUGGAUAGAGCACUGGUCUUGUAAACCAUGGGUCAUGAGUUCAAUCCUCAUAGAGGCCU